AUUGAACGCUGGCGGCAUGCCUUACACAUGCAAGUCGAACGGCAGCACGGGGCAACCUGGUGGCGAGUGGCGAACGGGUGAGUAAUGCAUCGGAACGUACCUUUCAGUGGGGGAUAACGUAGCGAAAGUUACGCUAAUACCGCAUAUUCUGUGAGCAGGAAAGCAGGGGAUCGCAAGACCUUGCGCUGAUUGAGCGGCCGAUGUCAGAUUAGCUAGUUGGUGAGGUAAAGGCUCACCAAGGCGACGAUCUGUAGCGGGUCUGAGAGGAUGAUCCGCCACACUGGAACUGGGACACGUUCCAGACUCCUACGGGGGGCAGCCGUGGGGAAUUUUGGACAAUGGGGGCAACCCUGAUCCAGCCAUGCCGCGUGAGUGAAGAAGGCCUUCGGGUUGUAAAGCUCUUUCGGCCGGGAAGAAAUCGCACGGGCUAAUACCCUGUGUGGAUGACGGUACCGGAAUAAGAAGCACCGGCUAACUACGUGCCAGCAGCCGCCGUAACAC
rnacentral:rRNA from 1 species